GACGAACCGUGCGAACGUUAUUCGGAAUCACUGGGCUUAAAGCGCGUGUAGGCGGGCCGGCACGUCGGACGUUGAAAUCCCUCGGCUCAACCGGGGAAGGGGCGCCGAUACGACCGGCCUGGAGGAACGUAGGGGGAGCUGGAACUUCCGGUGGAGCGGUGAAAUGCGUUGAGAUCGGAAGGAACGCCCGUGGCGAAAGCGAGCUCCUGGACGUUUUCUGACGCUGAGACGCGAAAGCCAGGGGAGCGAACGGG
rnacentral:rRNA from 1 species